rnacentral:misc_RNA from 1 species
GGAUUUGCCAGUAUCCUGGUACACCUGCG